rnacentral:rRNA from 1 species
UACGUAGGGUGCGAGCGUUGUCCGGAAUUAUUGGGCGUAAAGAGCUCGUAGGCGGUGUGUCACGUCGGCCGUGAAAACCUGCAGCUUAACUGUGGGCGUGCGGUCGAUACGGGCAUCACUGGAGUUCGGCAGGGGAGACUGGAAUUCCUGGUGUAGCGGUGAAAUGCGCAGAUAUCAGGAGGAACACCGGUGGCGAAGGCGGGUCUCUGGACCGGAACUGACGCUGAGGCGCGAAAGCGUGGGGAGCAAACAGG